GCUGGGUGUGGUGGCACACACCUGUAAUCUCAGUGGCUCGGAGGCUGACACAGGAGGAUCGUGAGUUCAAAGCCAGCCUUAGCAAUGGAGAGGCACUUAGUAACUCAGUGAGACCCUGUCUCUA
rnacentral:sRNA from 1 species